CCACCCGCCCCGUCACAUCACGAAAGUUUAGUUGCUCUUGAAGUCGCCCGCGCCAAACCGCAAGGAGGCAGGUGCCGACGGAGUGACUAGCGAUUGGGGGUGAAAGUCGUAACAAAGGUACCC
rnacentral:rRNA from 1 species